UUCUCUGCUUUCAAUGUUAAAACCACUUAGCUGUAAAGAGGAAGUAAAGCAGUUGGCUGAGUUUAGUCCAAUAAAACCCUGUUGUUAUUGUGAUAGGGGACUAAAGUCCUCUUGCAUGUCAGUGAGACUGAUGAGAGUGAAUGUCCUGAAUUGAUUCUCAGCACUAGAAUUUAUUCUAUUGAUUCUCAGAACUGGAAUUGAUUCUAGAAUUGAUUCUGUUGAUUCUUAUAACGAGAAUUGAUUCUAUUGAUUCUCAGAACUAGAAUUGAUUCUAGAAUUGAUUCUGUUGAUUCUUAUAACUAGAAUUGAUUCUAUUGAUUCUCAGAACUAGAAUUGAUUCUGUUGAUUCUUAUAACUAGAAUUGAUUCUAUUGAUUCUCAGAAAUAGAAUUGAUUCUAGAAUUGAUUCUGUUGAUUCUUAUAACUAGAAUUGAUUCUAUUGAUUCUCAGAACUGGAAUUGAUUCUGUUGAUUCUUAUAACUAGAAUUGAUUCUAUUGAUUCUCAGAACUGGAAUUGAUUCUAGAAUUGAUUCUAUUUAUUCUAAGAAGAAAGUUGGUUUAGAAUUGAUUCAGGGGAUAAUAUGGGUACCUAUGGUUAUGUGGUUAGGAGUGAUGCCUUUAAAGAAAAGUCAUGAACAGUCCUACUGUUUGUUUACCUCAGAAGAAGAUGAGGAAGGAAGGGGGGGCCUCGUUAGGAGACGAAGGACGUGUCUUAAUUGUGUACAGAGUGACCUGACUGUUGCAAUCAAAAGGAGGUGAUUUAUAAAACGUGCCACUACACUGUUAGUCUCUGUUGCAGGAACAGCAUGAUUUUAUUUGAAUAUAAUACAAUAAAAAACAAAACAAACAAAUGGAGUAUGUAAUAUAAAUAACAUUUGCUGUUAUCCAUUUCAAAAAUGAUUUAUUUAUUUGUUCAUCAGACAUGUUUUUGUUUUGAAUAUAUUGGUCUUUGUGAAAAAGGUACUGAAAAGUGGCAAGAUUGUGUUGUGUUUAGUCAAUUUAAUUUUUAGGAUCCUACUAGUUUGCAUGGUCUAUUGAUGAAACACGUGAUACAAGAGCCAGUAUGAAGUGCAGUACUCCAAGCCGCUUCUGACAUGGUCUGUGGAUUCUGGUCGUGGAUUCUGAUUGGUCCUACAGUGUUCAUGUCAAGUACAAUCCACCACAAUAGAAGACGUUUAAAGCAAAGAAAAGAUGAAACAUUUUCUAACCGUAAAACAAGGCAACUUUACAUUGUGUUGAAUCUGUCUCAUUCAUGUAUGAUCCACACCAAUGUACUGCAGUUUGCUAUAUACCCACCUGACAAUAACAGCCCUUCUCAUUGGAGAUCCAUUUUCUCCCUUUUCCCUGUUUCCACAGAGCAGGGUGAGAUGGGUAAUCUAACAGGAGUUAAAACAGGCAGUACUUGGGAUAUUAUUUUUAAUGCAACAUUGCAUAUUGGAAAGCUUUAUAUAUAGAAUAUAUACUAUUUGUAAAGAUUUCUACAGAGUAUAAUUCAGAAACUGGUAUAAAUUGGUAUUUUUCUAACAAUUUGCACACCUGUAUUUUUGACAAUGGAUAUAACAUGUUUGUAAUGCACAUACGGUAACAUUUGACAAAAAAAAACAUUAUUUUUAAUGGGUUGUAGGAGUUGAUGUAUUAUUUUGGGGAUGACGUGCGAUUCAGUUAAUACUUGUUUUUGACUGUUUUUACCAAAUAAUGAGGAACUGUGUGAGACCCUCUCAAAGUAUGGUGUCACCCCACGGAUUUGAGCAGUCUAUUUCAGAUGUAUUUCUGUGUAUAACAAUAAAGAAGUUAUGCCUUGCA